AGUUUUCCUUCAUUAUUUUUCCAAAUAAGUUUUCAAUUUCUUGCUGUUCCUCUUCCACUUCUGGCACCCUUAUGAAUUGGAUAUUGGAGUGUUUGAAGCUGUGCCAGAAUUUCUUAAGUCUCUCUUCAAUUAUUUGAAUUCUUGUUUCUUCAUUCUGUUCCAAUUGAAUGUUUAUUUCUUCCUUCUGUUUCAAAUCAUUGAUUUGCAUCCAGUUUCUUUCCUUUCACUUUUGGUUCCCUUUACAUUUU